UUUUAUUCCAUGAUGCACAUAAAUAAAAAGUGAUGAAAAGUUAUCCAUUUUAGAGAAAACAAUGAAAGAUGCUACAGCUGUCAGACGCAAGGAGUGAAGGUCUAGAGACUCCACAAAUAUCAUAGACGUGGACAAGAACAUCCUAAUGCUCUUGCUGGAUAUCUCCUGCUUACAUAGGGAGUCAGAGGCCUUAGAAUCUUGUUCAGAGCUACUCCUUUACAUAAUGUAGCUCCUUCAAAUUUAUAUAGGUAAAUCACACCUCUGGUUCUGAAAGGUAUGGUUAGACAUCAUCUGAAAACCUCACCCCCCUGAAAUCAGUUGAACCCAGAACUUACUUUUUUUUGAAACUUGGAUUACUUAUUUGUGUUUAAGUCAGCUGUGUUUAUCGGGUGUUCCAGAUUGCUGUGUAAACCAACUGUUUAAACUGGAUUACUUAGCACCCCACUACUUCCACUCAUGUGCAAGCACUACCAGCUCUGGCACUGCAUUUCUAGAUAAAGCAGAGGGAAAGCAGAUUUGUUGUUCUUGAACAAAUUAAAAUUGAUGAAUAUAGUAAGGUUAAUAACACAACUUUAUCAAUGUGCUUUUUUUUCCCAAGUACCCUAAAUGUUAACAGACUUUCUAAGUUCCUGCUGCUCACUGCAUUAAGAAUUAACAUUGCAGGACUGUGCUGAGACGUAUUUGAUUUUCAGUGUAGAUUCAGGUCAAUUACCUUAUUGUGAAGCCACGAACAAGACAACUGUGGCUGGUUUACAUAUGAAAGUUCAACACAAUUAGCAUCUGUUAAAACUAUCAGAUUGUCAUUCAUUAAUCAUUUUGUUUAAGCUGGAAAACUCUCACAAAUCAAAGCACAAAAGCAUGGAACUGAUGUUUACAGUAGUGAACAUGUGCUUUGGUGAGGGGUUAUAGAUUUCUCUAAUGUUUGUUAUUUACACCCUAAAUCAUUUUUACUGACUUUUAAAUUAAAAAAAGAAAAAUCUCAUAAAAGAGAAACGAAUGCAGUUCCAUUGUAAAAAGUGGAGUUGUACAAGAGGUAUAACUGCUAUUUGUUCAUCCUAUCUUAACAUGUCUUGAAGGCAGUGUCAUGUUUAGGACAUCUUAAAAGAGCAUAUAGUAUUUCUCUUAAGACACAUAGCUAGAGAUGGGAGGUUUUCCUAUUUUUUUGGUUAGCAAGAUGUAAGGAGCUUAGUUAGUAAGGAUUCUCCAUGUAAUAGAAUAAAUAGACAGUUAAAAGUAGAAGUCUUGUGAGACAAUGAAAGAAAAAGGUGGUUGGGUCCUACUGUGUGUUAUUUCUUGUACUAUACAUUGUCUAUACAAUGACAAACAUAAGGUACUUAACUUUGGUUUCAAAUAAUCACAACUAGAAAGCCACAAAUUGACUUUUCAUUUUUCCCUUGCAAGUGCAAUAAAACCUAAGGUAAACCUUCCUGCCAAAUUGCAUUUAUGGGAACCUCGCUUUCCUGUUCACUAGUUUUACUCCAAUUAAUUAAAAGCAGCGCUCCUGCCCUGAGCUCUGGUUUCCAAGGUAUUCACAGAAGGGCUCAUGCCCCAUCCAAAGUCCUGAGUGAGACCAAAUCAGAAGUUCUUCAUGGAUUCAUACCCUAGGGCUCCUGCACCUGCAGAUUUGAGGUAUGGUUUUUCUUUUUUUUGUAAAGUUUACUUCUUCAUAAGAUGGAAACCCUACAAUGCUGAAGAAAACAGACCUUACGGAUUUUAAUACAGAACUACGGGGAUGAAAACAAGCUUACUCUGUGCUGAUUCAUUUGCUUACUUGUUUCACAUAGGAAAAGUUAUGUUGAUGCCUCUAUAUGAGGACAAGGUGAGAUGAAUAUUUAGAUUUCUUUUUUCUUUUUCUUAAUAUUGUUAUUCUUUUCACAAAUAUUCCUGACUGAAAAAGUUCUUUAAGAAUUCUGCACUCUCCUUGCUUUCCAAUUAAGUUUUCUAGGCUUUCUUAUGUGGUCCUCUGAGUGCUGGAAAGUAACAGAAACAAGAAUGCAUUUAAUACCUGGCCUGGUGUCUUGGCAGCAAAGCUUAGCACUCCAGAGUGGGGAGUAGCAGGUUCAAGACCAACCCCAGGAGUCUUACUACUUGGACUGGCAGAGGGCUAGUGUAAUGCACAGACAGUGAGCUCAUUCUGCAGGUGGAGUGUUCAGCUGCAUUGAUCUUGUGGCAAACCCGGCCUGCUAAGGUUUUGGAGAAACAUUGGCUCUGAUCUGAAAGGAAAUUGUGCUGCCUUUCCCUGUCUUUCCACUAGUUUAGCUUGCAAGCUCUAAUAACAUUAAAACAUAGUUUAAACAAGAAGGCUGACAAAGCCAGAGAGACACAAAAUAAUUUCCUAGAAGUACUAAAUACAAUAAGUAAAACUCUAUAAUCUCCCAUUAGGUAAUUGUAUUUUCAUGGGGUCAGCCAGCCUCCCUGGCUAGGUUGAGGUCAAUUCUAAAAUAUGUGUAUUAUAUACAUUAAGCAUCUGUUAAUGAAGCAUGAAUUUCAUCAGCAAUCUGGGUGCCAAAAUCAACUCAUUUUGGUACAUGGUUUGCAUCUACAGUGGUGUCUUAUUGAUCUGCUUCUUAGAUUGAACAGCAAGGUUGUAUAGAUGCAAUGAAUGGCAGAUAAUAAGGAUAGAAAGCAACACCAGGAGCAUUUUCAAGAAGCAUAAAUUCUCUAAAUUUUCACUAGAGGAAAUUCAGAGUUCAGAGGACUUUAAGAUGACAGUAAGUAAAGAGUAAGAAAAGAUCAUGUUACCUGAUCCAAGAAUAUCUGGUCAGUGCUGAUAAUUUCCCUAUAAGAAAAUAUGAAACAGUAGUAGAUAAGUGUGAAGCACAUCAUCUAUUUUUGAGCGCUCUUUGUUGGCUAGAGGUAACCAAGUGGGGCUUCAGUUUAAAAAUUCACCAUUACUUUCCUCAGAUCCAUCACAGGGACCCUGGUAGAGCAGCAUGAAAACAAUACUCUGUUAUCAGUUAAGAAAUGAGCCCUUGUGCUUCUUACUUCUCCUGUCAGGCCAAGGUGUUAAAUGUAGGACUUUUUCCCAACAAUGACAGACCUAGAAAUGAAAACAAGUUCAAAAACCCCAAUGGCAAACCUUACAAAGUCAUAACGACCAUCUUCAUCUGCAAGAACCGCAGGCACAAAUGCUAUUUUGCUUUGAAAGUGAAGUGAGGUUAUGUUCCUUCUCAACAUGUAGGCUGGAAUACUGCUUUGUUUUAUUUAAGCACCACAGGCUCUAUGGACAGCAAUGAUUUUGGUCAUUUUUAAUAGCCUGUUAAAGUGGCAGAAGUGUUUGAGUGUAGUAGCCAAUGUAAAAAAGUAUAUUAAAUAAAAAAAAAAGUCUUCAGAGUUCGGAAACGGUCCCCUUUCAAUCCUUAAGUUUCCAUAGCUGAGCACAGGACUGCUGUGUGCUUUGGCAAUGAAAAAUAAUAUAACAUUUUUUGACAGAGCAAACUUCACCAGUAGCAUAUGUUGGAGCAAUACUAUAGGCUCCAAGUUGUAUUAAGCCAACUAUAAGUUUGACAGCAGAAAUAUAUCUGUCUCCUUGAACAAAUAGUCUGAGGCAUAUAUGUAGAUCCAUACAAGCUGUUCUCUUAGUUUCAACUCAUGUGAAGUAAAGGUGAGAUUUUAGUAAGCAAUAGCAUAAGCAAAUUACUAUGAAAAAGAAUUCAUCAUUCCAAGAAUUGUCUCAUAAGAUAUUGAAUCCCAAUGAGAAAUGGUGAUCAACAAGUGUACAGGGAAAAAGAGGAUCUCCUAACUAAUUCUUCAACCCUCUUCCAUUGCCACAUGAGGAGAGGAUGGGUAAGUAAAGGCAAGUUAGUCCUUCUUACUUCUUCGUAUCCAAACCUCUGGGGACAAGGAACUGAGUAAGGAAUAUGGAGAAAAGGAUGAUAUAUCUCUAUGUUUGUAGAUGAAUAAGAGAAAUUAGAUACAGACUCCUGUCUAAUCUAUAUCACCAUCUGACCCUAAAUAUUUGUAUAUGUAUGUUAAACCUCAGUUUUGCAUUACUUAGUAAAUAAAACAUACAGUUGAAAAAAAAAAAAAAAGAUAAAUUAAGGUGCAGUAAAUACUACUUGUUAGCAAGAGGCAAAUUUUAUGUACCCUUUCCACACAAAAAAUAUAUAUUUUUUCUUCCUUGUAAAUAUGAGUAUGUCCUUCCGUUUUCUUAAACUGUAAAUGGGAAAGGUGAGUUGAAGGGACAGAUUUCAAUGAUCCUAUUAAUUGAAAUAAUAAGAUAUAUCCUGAGGUUGACUUUUGAAAUGUUUCGUAGGCAUGCAGUUACAGAUCUCCACACGGAUUUUGUUUCCCAUUUGUGAAAUACGUCUUAUUGCUCUUUCAGAAACAUGCUCUUCCAUCAUAUGGAGUUUGAUUAAGCUUAUUUCUUGGUGAAUUCCACCUUUCCCAUGGUCAGGGAUAACUAAAUAUCCAUUUCCUUUAGACCUUCUUCAACUGUGCCAUUUGCUGCCAUUAAUCAUGCCCUUUUGUUCACACAAAUCGGUGGCUCAAAUGAUUAGAAGGUACUACGAUGAACGGUGCCACACAGUGAGUAAAAUGUACAAAAAGAUACUAAAGAGUGCUUGCCAUACUUUUGAUGUCUUAUACGCUUAUAUGGUACAGCGUGGAGUGUCCAGUAGCUAGUUGCUCUGUUGUGCUUUUGUAUGUUAUGAGACAUUUUUAAUUCUGUAAGUUCUAAGUUUUUCUGUACUUCUGUGAGCGAGACUUUCUGCAGCACAACCAAGAGGGCUGACUGCAGAACAAAAUGAUAGCAGAUAACAGUGAACAAAGUUUUGGAAAAGCAUAAUUGGUGGAUGAAUAGGUUAUACAGUUUGUAUAAAAAACGGGACAUUUUUUUAGAUGGAAAGAUAUCUAUAAAUAAGUAUAUUAAAACAUGAUCCUUAAAACCACUCAUCAUUCAUAUAAACCAAUAGUUCUUUGUGAAAAGAAAUAAGAAAUGCGCUGUCUUAUCUAUGUGUCCAUAGCUUGCUGUAAAACCUAGUGAGACCCACCAAAGUCUUUCCAUUGAUUUCAGUGGGUUUUGAGACAGAGCUGUAAUUGCCCCUUGGAAUGACGUUACAAGGUACCUACCUUCAGAGGCUGAUUGUUUCCAUUCUGCUUCAGGUAAUAGUGUUACAGUCUAGAUCAAGAGGCUUUUUAUGCAUACCAGCUGAAAAGAAGCAGUUCCUGAUUGCUUCUGCAAAAGAAAGCAGUGACUAAGACAGCUUGGGUUUUUAAUACUGUUAGCUUGCUGGUUAAAAAGAACUAAAUCUUUUUCAAAAUCUCUAUACUGUUGAAAUCAGUGCAAACAUUAUGAAUUUACUGGUGAAAAAAUCAGUGACAUAUUUCCCUCUUUAUCCUUCUAGCCCUGAAGAAUGUAAUGCUGCUGAAUAUGCUGACUUUUGUAAGAGAUGUAAAACAGAUUCUGUGAUCAUUUGUGGUCAUUAAGAAUCACUUUUUUUUUUUCUUUUUUUCUUUUUCUUUUUCUUUUUUUUUCAUGAAUAGAGGUGUUAGUGAAGGUGUUCUGGCCUAAUUCCAGCUCUGGUAAUUUGAUUUUUUUUUUUUUUCCUGCCUACACACGUUCUUUCAGCAGUCUCAUUUGGCUCUGUAUGUUGAGCUCAAUUCAGUGUUGCCCCAUGAUGCCUCUUGCAUCAGUUGGACUGGUGCAAAUGGGUACAAAGACAACCGUAUACCCUUUUUUCUUUUCCUGCUCAUAUAGCCCUUUGCUUCAAGAGCAACAAGUGGUAUAUCUAUACCACCCCUCCAUCAAUGGAUGGCAUUGGGGUAUUUGCAUAUGGGAGUAUUCAGAGGGCACCCAAAAUGGGAAUGGAAUAAAUAUGAGGGAUAGAGUAGAAGCUGAAAGCCGAAGCAUUCUUCUAACAAGGAUUUUCAGCCCUGCAGUGACACACAAGAACAUGGUCAAGUCAGCUUUUGGCAGGAGGUUUAACCCCACUAUGUGCUGCACAGUUGAAUUUGUAGUGAUGGAUGGUAUCAACACUAGUUAAGGAUAAUUCUUUCUAUGUGUGUAACCUGCUAAAACGCUCCCAAAAUUUGUCAGGAAGAGAAGACAUGAAUACUGAAGAAAGAAUUACAGUAUUGGAUGGAAGGAAGGAAGAAACACAUGAGGCUGGGACAAGGAUUUGGAUCAGAAUGAUACAUCCUUUGCUCUGGCAGAUACAAGGAUAUGCUGGAAAACAAGCUUGCUGUCUUUCUGUUGCUGUGUCAAACCGAGACAACACAGGACAAAAGAAGGGGAGAGACAGUGCUUCUGUCCAUGGGCUGUGACCGUCAGAAGAAAUGGAGAUCACAGUACUGAUGAUUCCCUCCUCCUACCACUGCUGCUUCUAAUGGAAAAUAUUCACCCAUGCCUUUUGCCUAGGGCAUGUGAAACAACUCAGUGGAAAAGAGACUGCCUGGAUAAGAACAGGACAUAACCCUUGGCUAGGCCUCUUGGAAGCUGAAGUUAAGCAUAAGAUAAUGGCACUGUGAAAACAGAAGAAAUGAUAAGUACUAUGAUAACGUGAAGAUGUGGAUCUAAUAAAGGUAAAAGGAUAAUGUGCACAAAAUCCCCACUAUUAAGGAACAUCUGUAGAUACAGCUUUUCUGAACUGAGAUCUUAAGUUGGCACAGAUGUC